ACCUGGCUGGCUCUGUGAGUAGAGCAUGUGAAUUUUUAUCACAGGGUUGUGAGUUCAAGCCCCAUGUUGGAUA
rnacentral:tRNA from 1 species